rnacentral:lncRNA from 1 species
GGAAAGAAGAGGGAGAAGAAAUCAAAGCACAAGUCCAGAAAGAGCUCGAAAGAAGCACAAAAUGUGUAGCCUCUUCUCUAGUUUUAUAGAAUUGAACAUGAAGUAUGGGGGGUUGAAGAGCUUGUUUUUUUUUCUUCUAUUGAAAACACCAACAUGAUAGAACAAACCUGGGUCCAUUUUCUUUAGUUAGAAGAAAGGAGGAGAAAAAAAAUUAUAGAAUUGAACAUGAAGUAUGGGGGGUUGAAGAGCUUGUUUUUUUUUCUUCUAUUGAAAACACCAACAUGAUAGAACAAACCUGGGUCCAUUUUCUUUAGUUAGAAGAAAGGAGGAGAAAAAAAAUCGUUCGAGCUAGUUUUAGCUCACCUCCAAAACUGAGAUAAUUUGAAGGAGAGGAAUUAUUUAUUUAAAAUUUGCACUAAAUUUACAUAUUUCCUUUAUUAGAAUCUCUUUCCUAUUGUCAAAUCAAAUGGACCAAACAGACCCAAGUGACAAGUAACAUUUCCUUCGCAGGUCA